GAUGAACGCUAGCUACAGGCUUAACACAUGCAAGUCGAGGGGCAGCAUGAACUUAGCUUGCUAAGUUUGAUGGCGACCGGAGCACGGGUGAGUAACACGUAUCCAACCUGCCGAUGACUCGGGGAUAGCCUUUCGAAAGAAAGAUUAAUACCCGAUGGCAUAGUUCUUCCGCAUGGUAGAACUAUUAAAGAAUUUCGGUCAUCGAUGGGGAUGCGUUCCAUUAGGUUGUUGGCGGGGUAACGGCCCACCAAGCCUUCGAUGGAUAGGGGUUCUGAGAGGAAGGUCCCCCACAUUGGAACUGAGACACGGUCCAAACUCCUACGGGAGGCAGCAGUGAGGGAUAUUGGUCAAUGGACGAGAGUCUGAACCAGCCAAGUAGCGUGAAGGAUGACUGCCCUAUGGGUUGUAAACUUCUUUUAUACGGGAAUAAAGUGAGGCACGUGUGCCUUUUUGUAUGUACCGUAUGAAUAAGGAUCGGCUAACUCCGUGCCAGCAGCCGCGGUAAUACGGAGGAUCCGAGCGUUAUCCGGAUUUAUUGGGUUUAAAGGGAGCGUAGGCGGACGCUUAAGUCAGUUGUGAAAGUUUGCGGCUCAACCGUAAAAUUGCAGUUGAUACCGGGUGUCUUGAGUACAGUAGAGGCAGGCGGAAUUCGUGGUGUAGCGGUGAAAUGCUUAGAUAUCACGAAGAACUCCGAUUGCGAAGGCAGCCUGCUGGACUGUAACUGACGCUGAUGCGCGAAAGUGUGGGUAUCAAACAGGAUUAGAUACCCUGGUAGUCCACACAGUAAACGAUGAAUACUCGCUGUUUGCGAUAUACAGUAAGCGGCCAAGCGAAAGCGUUAAGUAUUCCACCUGGGGAGUACGCCGGCAACGGUGAAACUCAAAGGAAUUGACGGGGGCCCGCACAAGCGGAGGAACAUGUGGUUUAAUUCGAAGCAACGCGAAGAACCUUACCAGGGCUUGACAUAUACCGGAAUAAUCAAGAGAUUGGUUAGUCCUUCGGGACUGGUAUACAGGUGGUGCAUGGUUGUCGUCAGCUCGUGUCGUGAGAUGUUGGGUUAAGUCCCGCAACGAGCGCAACCCCUAUCGUUAGUUGCCAGCAUGUAAAGAUGGGAACUCUAGCGAGACUGCCGGUGAUAAAUCGGAGGAAGGUGGGGACGACGUCAAAUCAUCAUGCCCUUUAUGUCCUGGGCUACACACGUACUACAAUGGUCGUUACAGAGGGAAGCAAUAUAGUGAUAUGGAGCAAAACCCAAAAAGCGAUCUCGGUUCGGAUUGAAGGCUGAAAUUCGCCUUCAUGAAGCCGGAAUUGCUAGUAAUGGCAGGUCAGCAUACUGCCGUGAAUACGUUCCCGGGCCUUGUACACACCGCCCGUCACACCAUGAGAGUUGGAAAUACCCGAAGCCUGUGAGCUAACAAACGAGGCAGCAGUCGAAGGUAGAGUCAAUGAUUGGGGUGA
rnacentral:rRNA from 1 species